ACUUGGCUUUGAUUGGAGACAUUUUCUUCUUUCCCUCUUCUAUUCACGUGUCCCCUUUUUCCAUUGGUCUAUUUUCUUCCUCUCUUUCUCUCUUUUCCUCUCUCUCUCUUUCUUUCUUCUCCUUUUUUUACUGCUACAUCCUUCACAACAUACACCACAAAAAUAUCUAAACAAAAAAAAAAUCUACUCUCUCUCUACAUCAUCAAACCGCCCAACCCUUCUU
rnacentral:lncRNA from 1 species